rnacentral:rRNA from 1 species
CAGUAGCCGCGGUAAUACGAAGGGUGCAAGCGUUACUCGGAAUUACUGGGCGUAAAGCGUGCGUAGGUGGUGGUUUAAGUCCGUUGUGAAAGCCCUGGGCUCAACCUGGGAAUUGCAGUGGAUACUGGGUCACUAGAGUGUGGUAGAGAAUAGUGGAAUUUCCGGUGUAGCAGUGAAAUGCGUAGAGAUCGGAAGGAACAUCUGUGGCGAAGGCGACUAUCUGGGCCAACACUGACACUGAGGCACGAAAGCGUGGGGAGCAAACAGGAUUAGAGACCCCGGUAGUCCCUGUCUCUUAUAC